AUGGACAUAAAAAUAUACCCACGUACGGGUGUGGCACGAAUCGCGUUCUUCGUCAGCUGUCAGGGGACACCGACUGGGCGAAGGAGCCUCACUACAGCCACGGCCUCUGCGCACUGGAGGGAAAAGCGGCUAAACGCGUGUUUACACCCAUAAAGCGGGCCAGAACUGGGUUUCUAAGUCAAUUGCAAGAUCUGAAACUGGGGAGUUUCAAGAAUGUCCAUGUUCAGAAGUCUUUGCAAGUAUCUACAUGAAAUCCUAGGACUGAAUUUCAUAUCCCAAAGGAUCAAGAUCCUGGUCCAGAAGCAUCAGAGAAGAUUCCCUCAGCUUCUGUAGAAGCUUCCGGAGUUCUUCUUUUGAAAAUACCUAAGAAAGAUAAAAUUAAAAAUAAUGAAGUUAUAUUUAUUUGCAAUGAACAGCACUGAUAUCAAACCCCAAUCCAAAAAUUAGUAACUGUACUAUUCAGAAGAACUGCUUGUCAGAAGACUGGCAUCAUCUUCAGGGUUUCAAAGUUAACUGUCUGAUUCCUUAAGUCAGCAUACAAGGAAGCCCUUUAUUACUGCAGUGAAUGGCAAGAGAUAAAGAAACUUAUGAUGUUAAGGAACAUAUGGCGUCUUCCUCUCUAUAUAGAAGCUUCUUCCACAGUCAACCCACAGAGCUUUUAAAUGGAAGCUAAGCUGCCUGCAGCUCUCACUAACUCACCG